rnacentral:rRNA from 1 species
CACGUAGGCGGGUCGUUAAGUCAGGGGUGAAAUCCUGGAGCUCAACUCCAGAACUGCCCUUGAUACUGGCGAUCUCGAGUUCGGGAGAGGUGAGUGGAACUGCGAGUGUAGAGGUGAAAUUCGUAGAUAUUCGCAAGAACACCAGUGGCGAAGGCGGCUCACUGGCCCGAUACUGACGCUGAGGUGCGAAAGCGUGGGGAAGACAAACAA